GGCGCUUCGCGUCGCCUGGGGAUGGCUUUGCGGUGCAUUAGCUAGUUGGUGGGGUAAUGGCCCACCAAGGCGACGAUGCAUAGCCGACCUGAGAGGGUGAUCGGCCACACUGGGACUGAGACACGGCCCAGACUCUACGGGAGGCAGCAGUAGGGAAUCUUCCACAAUGGACGAAAGUCUGAUGGAGCAACGCCGCGUGAACGAUGAAGGCUUCGGGUCGUAAAGUUCUGUUGUAAGGGAAGAAAAAGUGCCGCAGGCAAUGGCGGCACCUUGACGGUACCUUGCGAGAAAGCCACGGCUAACUACGUGCCAGCAGCCGCGGUAAUACGUAGGUGGCAAGCGUUGUCCGGAAUUAUUGGGCGUAAAGCGCGCGCAGGCGGCCUCUUAAGUCUGAUGUGAAAGCCCCCGGCUCAACCGGGGAGGGCCAUUGGAAACUGGGAGGCUUGAGUAUAGGAGAGAAGAGUGGAAUUCCACGUGUAGCGGUGAAAUGCGUAGAGAUGUGGAGGAACACCAGUGGCGAAGGCGACUCUUUGGCCUAUAACUGACGCUGAGGCGCGAAAGCGUGGGGAGCAAACAGGAUUAGAUACCCUGGUAGUCCACGCCGUAAACGAUGAGUGCUAGGUGUUGGAGGGUUUC
rnacentral:rRNA from 1 species